AUUCGGUAAUGUCCUGAUGGUAAGUCAGUGAAAUGUCGUCAGAUAUCAUGAUGAUCAUCCGGUGUGAAUGACGAUCCUCUGGUUUCAUACCUGACGGCUGGAAGAGUCGAAAAGGCCGUGGGGAGCGAAAUCAGGAUUAAGAUAUCCUGGGUAGUGACCGUCGUAAAUCGUUUGGGAAACUAGGUGUUGGCGACAUUUCCACGUCGUCGGUGCCGCAGCUAAACGCAUUAAGUUUCUUCCGUCUGGGGAGUACGGCUCGUAAGGGCUAAAACUCAAAAGGAAUUGAUUGGGGGCCUGCAUAAGCAGCGGAGCAUGUGGCUUAAUUCGACGCAACGCGAAGAAUCUUAUCAAGGCUUGACAUAUAUCGGAAAGCAUCAGAGAUGGUGCUCUUUCUUGUGGUCGGUAUACAGGUGGUGCAUGGCUGUCGUCAGCUCGUGUCGUGAGAUGUUGGGUUAAGUCCCGCAACGAGCGCAACCCUUGUUCUGUGUUGUCAGCAUGCCUUUCGGGGUGAUGGGGACUCACAGGAGACUGCCGGGGUCAACUCGGAGGAAGGUGGGGACGACGUCAAGUCAUCAUGCCCCUUAUGUCUUGGGCUGCACACGUGCUACAAUGGCCGGUACAAUGAGCUGCGAUGCCGCGAGGCGGAGCGAAUCUCAAAAAGCCGGUCUCAGUUCGGAUUGGGGUCUGCAACUCGACCCCAUGAAGUCGGAGUUGCUAGUAAUCGCAGAUCAGCAUUGCUGCGGUGAAUACGUUCCCGGGCCUUGUACACACCGCCCGUCACGUCACGAAAGUCGGUAACACCCGAAGCCGGUGCCCAACCCCUGUGGAGGGAGCGUCGAAGGUGGACUUCGAUUG
rnacentral:rRNA from 1 species